rnacentral:hammerhead_ribozyme from 1 species
GCACUGCUGACGAAUCCCAAACAGGACGAAACAGUUGUCCAGUGC